GAGAGUUGCAGAAAACAAGUUGUAAACAACAAGGAAACAACACUUGAGAAAGUUGUGAUCUCCAUGUAGCAGGAUUAACAAAUUUGGCUCCUGCAGUGCAGCGAUGAGCAAAAGUAUCAACACACAGUUAAUUAGAGACAACUUGUUACUCUGUAACAUGCAAAACCUGUGAUUAAAUUGUUGCAUAAAGAUAAGCAGCGGUAUUUAUGGAGAUCUCCAUAAAUAAAUGACCUUGGUAUGACCAAUUCAUAAUGAGAUACAAAACACAAGAUUGUCAAAAUGAUCAAAACAACAUCAGUUCAGUCAUCAUCUCCUCCCGGUUCCUUCAGAUCUCAGUCAUUCUCAAAUACAUCACUGAAGAAAAAACACAAUUAUUCAAUUUACGUUAAUGUACGACCAAGAAAACCAGCUAAUUCUGAAAUUUAAGAACCUGGAACCACCUGAUGUUGGGUAUUUUUUGCUUGAAAAACACCCACCACUCUUGUUUUAGUGUCAUAUGCCAAUUCUAAGUGCCAUACACUUUGAUUAGUGGUUUGCUGAUGCUGUUCAGCUGGCAUAUGGCACGUAAAAACUGUCUCACACAACACAUUUUUACUGACAUACAGGCUGAUGUUGUAACAGUUUGUUACUUCUUUAUUGUUGUUUUUUUUUAACUAGCAUAUUGACAUAAUGACCAUAAACACAUACUCAAACCAUGUCCAAGGCUAUGCUCUCUGGAAGGCAUACAGAGCUCACACACAGCUAGAGCUAGCCCUGCUAACUUAGUGAUGACAAAUGUAUAGUGACAGCUUGCUACAAGGACUGAUUAUCUUCCACUAUAACCUUAUGGCAUAAUCUACAGUACCAGUUUUACGUGGCAUCUGCUGGUGAAAACUGGCACCCGUCAGUGGUUUUAAUGCAGUGUGCCAAGUCAAAGAAGCCGCAGAUCACUAGUUACAGUGAAACACCACAAACAAUUGCAUAUAACAAGACAACAAGAGUGGCACACCAUCAGACAGUGAACACUGGUAUCUGUUGGAGGAACAUGUGUGACAUGAUUGUAAGUGGCACACAGCAGCAGCAUAUCAUAAUCACUAGUGGUGUAUUUGUUAGUAAGAAUCAGUGUAUGCUGGCAGGAAGUGGUAUCUACCAGUGGAGCAUGGGUGACAUACUGUUCAUAAUUGGCAUAUGCCAGUAAAAUAACAGGGGCUCACGACGCCAACAGUUCCAGAAGUGACAUAUGUGAUUAAAAAGAGUGGCAUAGUAUUAGUCACUUUUUGAUGUUGCGCCGUUCCAGUAAACUCACUUUGUCUGCAGGCAGAACCGCGCUGUAAUCUUAAUAGUAAACAACAUCGUGAGCAGCACUAAUUUGAUGUUAGUUCUGUGCUGGCAUUAUAGAAUAAUAUGAUAUAUAUAAACUGUAUAGCAAACAUAGCAAAACAUAUAAAGAAGCAGGUUAACUGAGGUAUCUUUCCAUCAGUCCUUGUUCCAUAUUAAGGGGAGUUUUGAGUUUUACUCUGUAAAAUUAUGUUGCUUCUUGUAGAAAAUGCCCCACGGAUGAUGUUUACAUUUUAUAUACCCAUCAGCAGACCCGACAGGAAACCAAGAAGAGAGCGGAUUUCAAUCUCCUUCAUCCAUCACAGAGCCGAGACAGCAACACAAAGAGGACUGGAGCUCAUGUUGAGGCAAAGGAUGGUGUGCUACUACUUACUGAAUAGUCAAUUGUUAAUUUGAUUCCUAUGAGAUAAUGGACACAUUGUUAGCUUCUGUUUGGUUUGCUGCGUCUUACAUGUAGAAGAAGAAAAUAUUAUUAAUAACAUUAAUUUAAUUUGCUAUUACUGUUCUACACAGAAAAGUACAAUCAUAUAGACAUGACAUCAUCGUCAUAUAAGUCAAUGUAAUGCUCUUCCUCCUUCUUUCCUGCACCACUUACUGUAUGUGGCUGGUUCAGCAUCAUGGUCACAGAUUAAAUUCAAAUCAUCUUACAAUCAUCUUAAAUAUAAAAGGUUUGAGUUGGGAUUAAUACCAAAUCAUCCUAUAUCAUAAAUAAUUCAGUCCUACAUAUUCUCUCUCUCACUUGUUUGGCAAAGCAGAGUCUGUUUUUGCAGUAGUAGUGAAUGCAGCAAUAUUCCCACACCUUAAUAUCAAAUUCAUAAUAUACCCACACUCUUGGAGUGCUCACUCUUGGGAUCAGAAAUCUUAGUUCAAGUUCAUACAGCAUCAUUUUAUACAGUUUAAGAUGCUUAAAUGAAUAGUUUUUAAAUGAACACGUAUUGCUUUCUUUAUGAGAGUGAGAGGUUCAGAUGGAUAUCAGUCUCAUUCUGUGUGUUAAGUAUGCAACUAGAGUCAGGACACUGUUAGCCUAACUUAAUAAAAAAUAAAAACUGAUAGUAGAGGGAAACAGCUAGCCAUGUUGAACUGGUCCUUUAACGACAGUAAACAGCAACAGAGAGAUAAAAAUGACUGAAUAAAAAGGUCUUGAGGUUGUUUUUUUUAUCAAAACAAUAUUGAACAUAUACAGUAUAGGUCUGUGUUUUUGACUAUGAUUAAUCAUUAAUAUCAAUACCAUAAUAGAAUGGUAUUUUUCAUUCAGAUGCAAUUUUUAGAACAACUUGGUACCAGAAUUAGUUUGGAUUGGAUUCUCUGGAGUGUUGAAAAUGAGUCUAAUCAAUUUCCCCAUUGAAUUCUAAUUUGAUUAUAAUCAAUUAUCUUGUUCAAAAAAUGUUUUUUUCUUUUUAAUAAAUACACGUUUCAGGCGUUCUGUUGAAUGAAACGGCUAAGUUCCUUUAUAAAGAUGAAGUUGAAUAAAUACGUACUUUGGCUCA